rnacentral:rRNA from 1 species
CCUACGGGGUGCAGCAGUCUAGAGGCUUCGGCAAUGGGGGCAACCCUGACCGAGCGACGCCGCGUGUGGGAUUGAAGGCCUUCGGGUCGUAAACCACUGUCAUUGGGAAAGAAUGCCCGGAUGGCGAAUCCGGGAGGGACGGUACCCAAGAAGGAAGCCCCGGCUAACUCCGUGCCAGCAGCCGCGGUAAUACGGAGGGGGCAAGCGUUGUUCGGAUUUACUGGGCGUAAAGGGUGGGUAGGCGGCUGCGCAAGUCUGGUGUGAAAUCUUCACCGCUUAACGGGAAGAGGUCACUGGAAAAUGCGGA